GCGAGCGGUGGGAGAACUGGUGGGGCGCGGUGUGGACACCCCACCCCCCACACCAGUGAUGUUGUCCCCCUUGUACAUGUGGACACAACCACCCCAGCUGUUUGUGGUGUUUACUUAUUUCAUCACUGAAAGUAACAAACAUGUGUAUGUGUGUGCGCGCGCACGUGGUCACAUGUCAGCCAUGACACCUGCUCCGUCUGCUGGCCGUGAAUCAUCGCUCGUCUUAUCACGUGACUAACAUGUCUUCUCUACUGUUUGCUUGCGUAGCACAGCGCUUUUCCCUUUGGGGUUAAUAAAGUUGUCACUUGUGUCACGCCUCGUGUCACAGAGUGACGUGCGUUAGUCUGUUUGUACAACAAAUAUCAGACUUACAAAUAAAUAUCAGUGUAGAGACAAUUACACAUCACAGACCGCUGUGUGAGAGCACUGUCUACACACACCUGUCUACACACACCUGUCUACACAGGGGUCUCACACAGUGGUCUACACUGCCUACAGACUGCGAGAGCCAGGGUGGACGUGACGUCAUGUUGAAGCUUCUGCAGUUGAGGUGACGUCACGCUGGACAUCAGUUGUGGACGAGUUACAGCGGCAAUGUAACAAUAUCGGGUGUCGGGUAUCCAGGAAUUACAGAAGGAAUGUAAAAAUAUCCGAUAUCGGGUAAACACGAGCUACAGACGGAUUGUCAUAAUACCCGAUAUUCAUGAGUUACGGAGGAGUCUUUGCCCUCCCUCGCACAAAGGGAGAGAAGUGAUAGUGGGACACAUACGAGCCCAAAUCCUGCCUGAUGCCGACAAUGGGACAGAAAGAUUGAAUGCACUGGCCCUCCUACAGAUACACAGAACUUUAGAAUUAACUACAAGGCAGUGAUUGAUGGAUUGGCUUUCAAGCUGAAUACACAGAUGGCCCCCAUUGCCCUCGCAUUCGAUUUGGUCGGAUUAAUCAGUGGCAUUAACACGGGCUUUCUAUUAAGUGGUUUGCAGGAGCAUGCUUGUAAUGGCGCCUGUAAAUGAACUGCAGUAAACUGAUCAUUUAGCUGCACUGCCCUGACCUCUGACCCUGGGCACCUGGUCAGUUUGAAUUCUCUAGUAUCUACAACCAAAUCCCUUAGGAAAAAAUCCACCAAAAGUAAGCACUCAAGAUGAUGAGGAAAAGCUAUUAUCUUUCAUACAUCACAUCCCUUCUCCCGUCACCACCACUAGCAGCACCAAGCCCGGACUGGGUGGUGAAGGGGCACCUCACGAUCUGACUAACCCUGACUUGUCUACCUGCUGUUCUUCGCCAUACUCUGUGUACUCUCACUUCUUUGCACAUAAUCAGGCUCACGAGGCAGCAUGCUCAGCGCUUGAGACAAGCAGGAGACAUGGACAGAAGACGAAGGACGGAAGGAGAAGCAGACAAGUAGUAAGAGACAAACACAGAGGACACAAGGAGGAAUCAGGGAAAGUAGUGAGGAUGGAGUGUGUCAUAUCCGCAGUUCACUGACUAUGAUCACAACUAACUGACUAAUGUUGAGUGGCUUCUUGGUGAGGGACAUGGAGAGAAUGCCAGACUGGUGAGGCUAGUGUCCGAGUGUUGUAUAUUUUCUCAUAUAUUCUUGUAAGAUUUAUACAAAAAAAUAUUUAUACUCCAGGGCCUCGGCUUUUGCUGAGUUUAUUCCGUAAAGUUUGAUUGAUGUCUCAAAAUAUAGCAGUGGUUCUCAAAGUGUGGUCCGCGGACCACUAGUGGUCCAUGGGCAUAAGUCAGGUGGUCCGCAGCUGACAGUCGUCACAUGUCAACAAAGUGAUGUUUAAAGUGAUGCAUUCCUCGCAUUAACAUUUUAAUUACAAAUAACGAGGUCCGUAGUUUUAUGUCAACUUAUUACUAUACUAUUAUCACAGAAGUA
rnacentral:lncRNA from 1 species